CCUCAUAGCUCAGUAGGUAAAGAAUCUGCCUGCAAUGCAGGAGACCUGGGUUCAAUCCCAGGGUCAGGA
rnacentral:tRNA from 1 species